GCGACCCCGGCACCGGCACCCGUUCCGAGGGUUCGCGCCGCAGGCGCAAAGUUUAGGGUCAGCCACAAACGCGCGGCCGCUUUGAGCCUGGCGUAAGGGGCGGCGGCGUAGGGGGACGUUGUGAAUAGCUGGUCGAAGUUUGGUUGAAGCACAGGAGGGUAAAUAAGAAGGUUUCCAGACAAAGAGACUCUUAAAGGUACAGACUCUUAUGUCUGUCCCUCCUCCUUAAAGGGCCAGAGACGCUCCCGAGCCCAUCUCCGCCCCCUUCUUCCCGGGGAACUGUAAAGGUAUUUUACAUGAGUUUCCCAUACUCUUUUCGGUUCACCUUUAACACCUCUCCCCACUGCGAAGGACAAAGGCUUUCUCACUAUCCCGUCCGUAUGUUUUGUUUUAUUCUGUUAAAAGACGUUAUUUCUGUGUUGUUCCUAAAGCAGCAGCCCUCAAACCGUGGGGUUUCCGGAGGCAGCGUUUGCAAAAGUUACUAUUGGCUCCCAGGCGGGUGAGCACGUGUCUGGCUUUUGCCACAGAUGACCCAAGAGAGAUUCAGCUGUUUUAUGGAAAUCCCCCACAAGUUAGAGGAUCGCUGCCGGAACUGAAGAAGUUCAGCAGAUUGUAAGGCUUGGGAAAUAAACCAGACUGACUUGGUAGUGGUCCAUUGGGAAACAGAACAGCACCUAAGCUACAAAAGGCUUAGGUUAAGCAGUCUCCUAGGUGCACUGUCUUGAAACUACUUGCGGGGUGGUAGUGGGGGGAGGGGAUGGGAGUCUCCCAAAAUAAGAUCAACAAUUUCAACACCCAACACAUAGCUAAGGCAGAUAAAGACUUACAUUUAAAUAUAAGGACAAGUAAAAGAAACAGACAUUAGCUAUAGUAGUGGCUCAAGUUACACACCUGUAAACAGGAGAACUAGGUAAGCACAAAAAAAAAAAAAAGAACACCACACACAAUAGGAAGGGGGAAACUACAAUGCCUGGACCAAGCGCUGUGUAGGCAAUUUAUUAACAACUUGCACUUUUAAAAGAGGUUUGAUAGAAGGAGAGGAAGUGGAGUGUUUCAAUUUGGUUUGGUCGGGAUUUAUCAUGAGGUUCAAGGCCUCAGAGUUAGAUUCAGAAUUUAGCUCUCCCUUUGUCGUCCAUCACAGUUAACAUAAUUCUUUUUAAGGAAUUCUUAACAUUAUAACUCUAAUUAUAUGUCUUAUUCCCUUACUCAACAAUCCCCAAGAAAAUUCUUGGAGAAGAAAGAUUGUUACUUAUUCAAUGUUAGUUCCAUAACAAGGUGCUUUUGCUGAGUGAAGAAUUUGGGAGCCACUUAAAACUUCCAAUGGAAGGGAUGCUCCCAGAAUAGCAAUACAGGAGGAAAAGUUUCUCAGUGAUGUGAGCAUGUAUUAGAUCAGUGUUCUCAAAAAUGUGGC
rnacentral:lncRNA from 1 species